GCACAGGCAGCUCGAGCGUGGCAAGUCUUCAACGGCAUUGCCUCAGGUGGCAGUCUUUCGUCAUAUCCCUGGUGGCAAAUGCGACUGCUCGUUGGAGAGCCUUACACUGGUUUGCGUUCCGAUCUGGCGUUGGCCUCCGAUUCAAGUGUUCAGGAGGAAGAGACGAGGACGCAUAAGGUCCGACCAUGCAGAUGAUGUGGAAGCUGUGCCGGAGUUUAACCUAUCUGUAUUAGGAGACCAUCAAAACUCAUCGGACAGUGAAAUGUCACAAAUGGUGAGCCUGAGCACUCCUAAACGUCUGUAGGCCUCACCUCGGC